rnacentral:rRNA from 1 species
UACGAAGGGUGCAAGCGUUACUCGGAAUUACUGGGCGUAAAGCGUGCGUAGGUGGUUUUUUAAGUCCGUUGUGAAAGCCCUGGGCUCAACCUGGGAAUGGCAGUGGAUACUGGAAAGCUAGAGUGCGGUAGAGGGUAGUGGAAUUCCCGGUGUAGCAGUGAAAUGCGUAGAGAUCGGGAGGAACACCAGCGGCGAAGGCGGCUACCUGGACCAGCACUGACACUGAGGCACGAAAGCGUGGGGAGCAAACAGG